CCCCUCUCAGGGUCACACCUGGAGAGUUUCCAGGCCUCUACCUGUCUCGACGACUGGAGGGAGAGUCAAGCAGAGGCAUAUCCAUUCCAUUCCUAGCUUGUCCAGUGGCUAGCGAGUGGAAGGCAAUCCGCCACAAGU